rnacentral:rRNA from 1 species
GAACGGAAUGGCACCCACCCAGGCGUGGAAUAUGCGGCUUAAUUUGACUCAACACGGGGAAUCUUACCAGGUCAGGACAUUGUUCGGAUUGACAGACCGAUUAGCUCUUUCUUGAUUCUGUGGAUGGKGGUGCAUGGCCGCUCCUGAUUGGUGGAUUGAUUUGUCUGGCUGAUUCCGAUAACGAGUGAGAUAUCUACCUUCCAGUACGCCCCGACCUCGCAAUUGUAGGGAACUUGAUACCGGUGUUUCCAUGUCCCGUUUUCGCCUGCUGCGUUGGAUUAGCUCUUCGUUGUUGUCGGUUUCGUUCGUGACUAACUGGCCGUUGUCGUUUCUCUUGCUCUUUCCUUUCGGGGUUUUUGCAAGAAGCGGGUACGGAAAAGUGGGCGCGUUCGUUGUCCGGGUGCAGCGUUUUGUGCGACGUCUGGCGUUGUUGGUUUGUAAGCGGGGUUUCUUGGCGCCGGUUAUCACCCGAGAGGUCUUACGUCAGAUCUUCGUGUUCUUUCUGUGGAAUUUCAUUUCGCUUCUCUGAGGUGCUGCGUACGCUACCAAGUACGUCGUAUGCUAGAGCCAACAGCAGGUCUGUGAUGCUCCCAGAUGUCCUGGACCGCACGCGCAUUACACUGGAUCGGUGAAUGUGUACCAUGCAACCAUUCGUUCGGCGGCGCUUUCCGGUUUGUUUCGACAGGCCGGCGACGCUGUUUUCCGCGGCGAGUGGAUUUGCCCUUGCUAGAAAGUGGUUCGGAAACCAUGGGAAACCGCCUGUGUUUGAAAGCGUCUUUCCGGUUUGUUUAACUCCUCGCGGGUUUCAACCGGAAACGACUCGUCCGUGUUCGGGAUUGAUGCUUGCAACUGUCUGCCAUGAACGAGGAAUGCCUAGUAUGCGCGAGUCAUCAGCUCGCACCGAUUGCGUCCCUGCCACUUGUACACACA